UGUUUAUUUAUAAACAGAAAUAAAAGGAAUAUGAGGGUAAUCUCCUUUUGCUUAGUUACACAGUUGCAGUCAAAGAGAGCCAGGUUAAGGUACUGAAUUGACAAUGCACAAACAUCAAGCCCAUGCCCAACUAUGCAGUAUCAAAUUCAGGGAGAUGCAGUCCAUGUAGGUGAUGAUGACAAGACAUAGCAAUGUUCAUUAAUCCCUCACUGUAAAACCAAAGCUAACUGCACUAAGUGUAAACAGUGUAAUAACAUGAAUUUCGGUCCAGAGUCCUAACUUAAAAUAUAUAAUGGUGUCCUGAGGUAUCUGGAAAUCAAAGCAUUACAGCAGGUCAUUUAAGUGCAGUAAGUUGUAAAGUACAUCUACUAUAGAAGACCACUACAAACCAGAACUGGCCAGACAGGACAACAGAACUACAAGAGCUGUUCAGAUAUUAUCAUUAAUGUUUGGUGCUGGAAAUAGUGAAAAACAAAUAAAUAUUAGCUUGUUCUCCUUUUGUCUACUACCUGGGAAAGAAAGGGACUACAGGUUAGGUAAAGUGUGAACUUUGGUGUAAAUAACAACAAAAAUGCUCUUUUUUUCCCCCAGAUUGCCACUGUGGAACCUCAGUUCAGUGCCAAGGACCUCUUUGAAUGCCUGUCCCAACCAGACUACAGCUUACAGUGUGGACUGGAAGUCAUCGGCAAGUCAAGCUUGUGUGAGAUGUGCCAGGAUAGAGAGCUCAGGAAUGGAGUUCCAUAUCCGUUCAGCUGGAAUCUGA
rnacentral:lncRNA from 1 species